CCUACGGGAGGCAGCAGUGAGGAAUAUUGGUCAAUGGCCGCAGGGCUGAACCAGCCAAGUCGCGUGAGGGAUGACGGUUCUAUGGAUUGUAAACCUCUUUUGUCAGGGAGCAAAGGGCGCGACGCGUCGCGAUUCGCGAGUACCUGAAGAAAAAGCAUCGGCUAACUCCGUGCCAGCAGCCGCGGUAAUACGGAGGAUGCGAGCGUUAUCCGGAUUUAUUGGGUUUAAAGGGUGCGUAGGCGGAAUGUCAAGUCAGCGGUAAAAUUUCGGGGCUCAACCCCGACGUGCCGUUGAAACUGGGGUUCUUGAGUGAGCGAGAGGUAUGCGGAAUGCGUGGUGUAGCGGUGAAAUGCAUAGAUAUCACGCAGAACUCCGAUUGCGAAGGCAGCAUACCAGCGCUCGACUGACGCUGAUGCACGAAAGCGUGGGUAUCGAACAGGAUUAGAUACCCUAGUAGUC
rnacentral:rRNA from 1 species